GCUCCGGUGGCCUAGUGGUUAAAGCAUCCGCCUUGGAUGUGGGAGGUCGUGGGUUAGAUCCCUAUGUCGAGUCA